UCGCGAUUUUGAUAAACAUUUAAAAACGAGUUAUGUUUAAACCAGGAUACUACCCUAAUUGCGAGACUCAAACUUCACUAAACACUUGUGGUAACCUACAUAACAUCGACCUACUUAAGGGGGAAACCCGACACAUUUUAACUUUUUAUUUCGAGCUGCGAAAAAAAAGUUUUAGAUAUUGAUCUUCAUUUUACUGUCUUGCGCAUAAGCGUAGUUUAAUCUACGGUCUGGUAAUUCAGUGAAAAACAAACAAUUAAGCUCUUCAACUACACCUAUACUUCUUCGGAUAUUUUUGUUUUGUUAAUUGUAUAUUAUAAUUCCUGUUACAUUUUAGCUAUUUUGUAUCAUUUAACUGUCACUGCUAAACUUGGACUCCCCAUAACCCAUCGUGCCUUUAAUUUAAAUAAUAGUUUCAAAACAUAUAUGAUUUAUAAAACUGAUCUUCAUUUCAAAUAGUUCACCGAUGUCAGUUCAGGCUGUUGCCACAUGCAAACUGAUCGAAUGAAUUAUUUUUAAAAAAAGGUUUUAAAACUACUCAGAGAUUGUUCAUAAUGCGAAAGCUGGGGUCAAUUAGUUGCAUGAGACGGCAAUUGGCCACAAUUGGGAACAAGAUAUAACUUGUAGUUCUAAGUAAACUACCACGUGAAGCCUAGUUUGACACAAGAAUAAAGGAGGGUUGUAUUACUCAUCAAAUCCAGUGACACAAAUUUCUCCAUGACUUCCGGGAUCUAGGAAGCACCCCAGAACUUGGCGAUAGCACCCUCAUUUUCCGUCAGUCUCAGUCAAGAUGAAUACCUGACCGAAAUAUGCCGUAAUUGUGAGUUCAGGCGUGCAAACAUCCAAGUCGAAACAUUGCCUUACUGGAGUAAUAACAGUGACUGAAAAUAAGAUUUCGGCAAGCGUGUUUAUCUGGCCAUGUUGCGGAGGAAUUCUCUAGACUGGUAGGAGAUCUGUUGACAACGUGUAGGUACUAUCAUGGCCACCGAAGCUAACUCUGAGAAUUCUAGCGGAGGGUUCAAAGACAAAGAUUCCAAUAAGCGAAGACUCAGUAGCCCUUCUGGUGAUAAAAUAACUUUACUGAAGCGCGAAAACGACAUACUUCAACAGCAACUCAAAUGCAGGAUGUGCCAAGUCAAAGAAAAGGAUCAACUUUUUGUUCCAUGCCACGAUAUCUAUGCCUGCAAGGAUUGUGCUAACAAAGUCUCUAGGUGCCCUGCUUGUGAUCAAGAAAUAACAGCAAGAGAAACGAUCACACUGGCAGCAAGUAUUUAAAUUGUUGCCUUGUUAUACAACUCAUUGACCUUAAACUCGUGGCUGAUACAGCUUGUAGCAGACUGAAACCGAAACAACAGGAAUACAGGCCACAGAAUCUAUCGAUCGUUGUUUUUUCGAUAAUCUUUACAGGAACAGUGUCUAUCGUUCAUUUUAUUUUUCCAAUAAGCAUGACGGAUUCAUCGACCGCUUUCUUCCAAUAAGCUCGAUGAAAGUACUGUCUAUCGACCGCUUUCUUCAAAUGGUAGAAAACAAUCGAGAUAACAAUACAGGAAUAAGAAGUUUAAAUCUCAUGUGUUUAGAGUUUAAACUCCCGAUUGAGCUAAGAUUAUGUAAGAGCUAACGAACUAAGCCCAGUAAAACUAACCAAGAGAAACGUUGCAAGACUUGGAAUAGAAUGAAAUGGAUAUGUUAUUUUCACACUGCAUCGUAAGUAACAAACUGUAGGGCCUACAUACAUAAACAUUCAUAGCCUUGAUUCAUGUAGUGAACAGUAUCAUACUACAGAGGCUAUAGAACUACACUUUUCUGUAAAAAAUAAAACAAAUCUUUGGAAUCUAAA